AACGAACGCUGGCGGCAGGCCUAACACAUGCAAGUCGAACGCUCGUAGCAAUACGAGAGUGGCAGACGGGUGAGUAACACGUGGGAACCUUCCCUAUGGUUCGGAAUAGCUCAGGGAAACUUGGGGUAAUACCGGAUAAGCCCUUCGGGGAAAGAUUUAUCGCCAUUGGAUGGGCCCGCGUCGGAUUAGCUAGUUGGUGAGGUAACGGCUCACCAAGGCAACGAUCCGUAGCUGGUCUGAGAGGAUGAUCAGCCACACUGGGACUGAGACACGGCCUAGACUCCUACGGGAGGCAGCAGUGGGGAAUAUUGGACAAUGGGCGCAAGCCUGAUCCAGCCAUGCCGCGUGAGUGACGAAGGUCUUCGGAUUGUAAAACUCUUUUGGCGGGACGAUAAUGACGGUACCCGCAGAAUAAGCCCCGGCUAACUUCGUGCCAGCCGCCGACCGUAAU
rnacentral:rRNA from 1 species